CUCAGGCCUGUAUCUUUGUUAUUUUUACAUCAGUAGUGUAUAAUCGCUAUUUUUUUUUGUCUGUAUUGUUUUUUCCAUUUUGUUUUUGAGUCUUGGUCUCUUGACUAAUGGGCUGUAGUCCCACUUCCAGCACUCUGUGAUCAUACCUCUGAAGACAGACAGCUGCAGCCCAGCAGCAUGACAGAGAGGGAAUGGGGAAGGGAGAUAGGAAGAAGUCAUGUGGAGUCCAGGGAUGAGAUGAGGCUGUGGAAGCAAAAAUUCUAGGAAGGUUCCUAGAGAAGAGGGUAGGGGGAAGAGAAGAUGAACUGGGAGAAAUGUGAGAGAAGAUUGCCCUGUCCCUUCUGGGAAAAGAGAGAUGGAGAGCUGGCCCAAGGAUUUUGAAAACAGCAUUCUUAAUGAGUAAAAGAAAGAUAGUAGAUGCAGCAACAGCACCCACCCCAUGUAUCUACUGCUGAUGUGCUUCAGAAAGGCGUAUGAGGAGUGAGAUUGUUCAGAGUCCUUAAACUCUGAAUCAAAUCAGUGAGUCUUACCUGAUUUGAAUGGCUAAGUCUGAAAACCAGAUGCUUUCUUCAAACCAGACAUGAAUGCUUCCACAAUUACAGCCUGAGACUUGCUUAGUUUGUUCAUUUACUUGACUUGUUCUCUUACACAGAAUAGAGGAAAGAUACUUUACAAGCCUCUGAAUAGGGAAUUUACUCAAUGAGAAAUGAAUUCAUAAACUUUUACUGAGUAAACAAUGGCAUCAGUUACUCAUUUUGGAUAUGUUGAUUAUUGAGCACCCAAGUAUGUCAAAAUCCUGGCUUUGGGAUGUAGAUGAGGACUCACAGGUCUACACAGAAGCAAAUUCACCUUGAAAAAAAGACAUCUCAUAUUUUGGCAUUCAGUAACUUAUAAGUCCCAUGUUGGAGACUGUCAAUGGACACCAUGCUUACUGCACAGCAUGGAAAAAAACCUAAAGAUUAUCUACAGAGUUCUCAGCUAUGGAAUAAAUAAAUAAGUGAUGUGAGGUUUGAUUUUUAUACCUGUUAUGUUUUCUGUGUAUGGUGGCUACCACCAGCGUUAUGAGUUUUGUGACUGGAGCUGUAGAACCUUUUUUUUUUUUUUUUUUUUUUUUUUUUUUAGGCUUGAUAGAAGCCUUAACUGUCUCAUAAUUAAUUCCUACCACAGCAUCUUUUUGUUGCUCUGACAAGAAAAGCUAAGCAGCAUUAAUAUCUAACCUGGAACUUAGCAUUGAAAUAGGUCUAAUAAGCAUAUGUAUUUGUUCGCUAAGGUCACAAACAUCACAAAUUUUCUUCUUUCUAAUGAAUCUGUGGCAAAGAUUUCUGGAUCUCUCCAUUGGCAAUGCUACUAUGAAGAAGGCUAGAGUUGACAGGGAAAAAAAGGGAGGGAAGAAACUGUUCUGAAGAAACUAGAGCAAAACAGUUUACAGGCUUCUUUCUUGCACACACUAGCACAAAUAAUAGAAGAGGAUUAAAAUUUAAUCUGUUUAGAAAGGGAGUCAAAAUUUAAAUAAGGUAAAACUCAGAGAGAAAGAAAAGAGACAGAAGCAGAAUCACUCUUAAGGCAGUUAGUCAACAAAGUGUCCAUUAGUUAACUGCUAACAUGGCACAAGACACAACAUUGUAUUGAUUUUACUUUAUUUUAUUGGUAAAGGGAAGCCUUGUGUAUGUAUGUAAACUGCAUUUCUGCAGGUUAAUCUUAGGGACGUAUUUCUAGGACAUAAUUAAUGGGAGCAUCUGUGAAUGAUUUAAAAUCAGAAGAAAUACAGAUAUUUCAUAGAGAGUAAUUCUAUUCCAGUCCUCUGCUAUUCAAGAGAUAAGAGCUGAAAUGCAGCUUGGAGAGAGACCCAGGGGAAUAACGUGCAUUGGAACUUUAUGUACAGAAGCAAGAAUGAGCCCCAUUUCAAUGGAAAGUCCUCUUGCAAGGUUAUGUUGAAGAAUAAGGUCAUUUCACAUUUAUUCCAGUUAACAGAACACUCCAAAAACUCCUGAAGAAUAUGAAGCAUAAGAAUUAAUUAAAAUAUGAGGGAAAGGUGCUUCUGUCUGGAAGACAAAUAGUGCAACUGGUGAUGCUUAUGCAGGGGCAGCAGCAGAGAGGCUGUCAAUUUCUACUUGGAAAAAUAGUUUUCUCUGCUUUUCUAACUUUCUUUAUAAGUAACCGAGGUAACUGCAGAAGUAGAACAGCACACAGCAGCAUACACAGAUGCCUGCCUAUAAUGCUGUGUUUGUGUCCAUUCAGGACACCUACGUACCCUGUGCUAGUAAUGUGUUGAUUUGUAGUUUAAACUGGCAUUAGGCACCCAUUGGAUUUCAUGCAUAGGUAAUGAGGAAUUCAGAGAAUUGGCAGCUCACAGAGAUAACGCUACAGUUCAUCUGAAAAGGACUCUCUUUUGGCAUUGCUGCUUGGCAAACAGCGCUGCUUUGGUAGAGAAGGGGUGCUCAUUUGAAGCAUGGCCUCAGGUCUUUU